rnacentral:rRNA from 1 species
GUUGAAACACGGGUUCUUGUAUGAUCACCAAAAUUAAGCAACAUCAAGCCUGGCCAGUACCUAGAUGGGUGACCACUUGGGAAUACCAGGU